rnacentral:lncRNA from 1 species
GGUCAACAUCUUGGUAAAUGGACCCGAACCCAUGAUUUGACGGUUCUGGAGUGUCCAUAGGAAAAUAUGGGGUUUGGGCGUAUGCCCGAAAUCGAAUUUCGAGGUCCCACGCCGAGAUAUGAAUUUUUAAGUGAAAUUAUUAUUUGAAAAUGUUUAAAGAGAAUUGAAGUGAAAUCUAAUUUGAAAGUAAUGGUAUUGAGCCCGAAUUUUUGGUUCCGGCGCCCUGUACAAGUCUCAUAUGUGUUUUGAAUCACUCUUACAAAGUUUGGUUAAAAACGAACGUCAUUUGACGCGAUCCGGACCCUAAUUAGAAAAUUUAUGCAUAAAAGAAGUUUUG